GUUUUGCUUAUAACUUUAGGUUGAAAGUUAUGUUGACUGUGUUUUUUCUCAAUAUCUGAAGUAAAAUAAUAAAUUUCUAUUAGUCUCCUAAAUAUAUCAUAAAAGUUUCUUAUUUAAGAUGAAAUUUAAUUCACAGAUUUCUACCAGUGGACGAGUACCAGUUAAAAAAAAAAAAGGAGAUGGAAGUGAAAUACAGAAGAUUAUGAAUUUCUAAGUUGUCACAAUUCAAAGAAUACCUUACCUGAUUUGCAUCCUAUUUUUAGAAAAGCUUUUCAUCAACCCCCAAUUUACCUCAACACUGGGGUCUCAAAAUCAGAAGAAACUGUAUAUCUAUGGCACGAAUCAUUGGAGUAUUUGAGCACAUAGAAAUGAUUAAAGAUACAUCAAAAUUACUUCUAGAAGCCUAGAUACUGCCACUGGUGGCUCAGAGUUUCAGUCCAGGUCUCAGUUUGCACCAGUGUUAGGAGUGACAGCAGGGCAUCCAAACACUGAACAGCACUGGGAGCUGAAGGGUCCUUUCACUCAUGGAGACCAUUUGUAAGCUCUUCUGACAGUGAGACUCAGAUGGGCCAUGUGAACAGCAGCAGCACAAUAGACUCCAGAGCAUGCCUAAGGAAAUUAUGGUUGUGAAGGUCAACCCUAACCAGAGCAGGGACUUGCUUUUAUGCUUGUCCUGAUGAAAAAUAUAUUUCUACGUCCCAAAUGUCAGGACAGGUCCUCUACAGUAAAGAAAGCUCUUCACAACUGCCAUACUUGUCAGCUAGUCAAAUAAUCCAAGAUGUGACCCUGGCUUAAUUUUAGUGUAAGGUCUCAAUGCUAACUCUAAUUAUUAUGUCUUACCUGGAUCACAUGACAAAUGCCCAAUGCCCAACAGAUAAAUGCAAUGUCCAACUAUUUUGCUGGUGAUGGCACUUCUGGAAGCCUGAAUAUAUUUACUGCUUUUGGCUGUGAUCGUUAAUUUUCUUCAUAGUAGCUU